GACGAACGCUGGCUGCGUGCUUAACACAUGCAAGUCGAACGCUGAAGCCUGGUGCUUGCACCGGGUGGAUGAGUGGCGAACGGGUGAGUAACACGUGAGUAACCUGCCCCUGACUUCGGGAUAAGCCCGGGAAACUGGGUCUAAUACCGGAUACGACUGCCGGACGCAUGUCUGGUGGUGGAAAGUUUUUUCGGUUGGGGAUGGGCUCGCGGCCUAUCAGUUUGUUGGUGAGGUAAUGGCUCACCAAGACGACGACGGGUAGCCGGCCUGAGAGGGCGACCGGCCACACUGGGACUGAGACACGGCCCAGACUCCUACGGGAGGCAGCAGUGGGGAAUAUUGCACAAUGGGGGAAACCCUGAUGCAGCGACGCAGCGUGCGGGAUGACGGCCUUCGGGUUGUAAACCGCUUUCAGCAGGGAAGAAGCGCAAGUGACGGUACCUGCAGAAGAAGUACCGGCUAACUACGUGCCAGCAGCCGCGGUAAUACGUAGGGUACGAGCGUUGUCCGGAAUUAUUGGGCGUAAAGAGCUCGUAGGUGGUUGGUCACGUCUGCUGUGGAAACGCAACGCUUAACGUUGCGCGUGCAGUGGGUACGGGCUGACUAGAGUGCAGUAGGGGAGUCUGGAAUUCCUGGUGUAGCGGUGAAAUGCGCAGAUAUCAGGAGGAACACCGGUGGCGAAGGCGGGACUCUGGGCUGUAACUGACACUGAGGAGCGAAGGCAUGGGGAGCGAACAGGAUUAGAUACCCUGGUAGUCCAUGCCGUAAACGUUGGGCACUAGGUGUGGGGGGCAUUCCACGUUCUCCGCGCCGUAGCUAACGCAUUAAGUGCCCCGCCUGGGGAGUACGGUCGCAAGGCUAAAACUCAAAGGAAUUGACGGGGGCCCGCACAAGCGGCGGAGCAUGCGGAUUAAUUCGAUGCAACGCGAAGAACCUUACCAAGGCUUGACAUACACCGGACCGUCCUGGAAACAGGUCCUCUUCUUUGAAGCUGGUGUACAGGUGGUGCAUGGUUGUCGUCAGCUCGUGUCGUGAGAUGUUGGGUUAAGUCCCGCAACGAGCGCAACCCUCGUUCUAUGUUGCCAGCACGUGAUGGUGGGAACUCAUAGGAGACUGCCGGGGUCAACUCGGAGGAAGGUGGGGAUGACGUCAAAUCAUCAUGCCCUUUAUGUCUUGGGCUUCACGCAUGCUACAAUGGCUGGUACAGAGAGAGGCGAACCCGUGAGGGCAAGCGAAUCCCUUAAAGCCAGUCUCAGUUCGGAUCGUAGUCUGCAAUUCGACUACGUGAAGUCGGAGUCGCUAGUAAUCGCAGAUCAGCAACGCUGCGGUGAAUACGUUCCCGGGCCU
rnacentral:rRNA from 1 species